CCUACGGGGUGCAGCAGUGGGGAAUAUUGGGCAAUGGGCGCAAGCCUGACCCAGCAACGCCGCGUGAAGGAAGAAGGCUUUCGGGUUGUAAACUUCUUUUAAGGGGGAAGAGCAGAAGACGGUACCCCUUGACUACUCCACGGCUAACUACGUGCCAGCAGCCGCGGUAAUACGUAGGUGGCAAGCGUUGUCCGGAUUUACUGGGUGUAAAGGGCGUGCAGCCGGAGGGACAAGUCAGAUGUGAAAUCCACGGGCUCAACCCGUGAACUGCAUUUGAAACUGGUUCCCUUGAGUGUCGGAGAGGUAAGCGGAAUUCCUGGUGUAGCGGUGAAAUGCGUAGAUAUAAGGAAGAACACCAGUGGCGAAGGCGGAUUACUGGACGAAAACUGACGGUGAGGCGCGAAAGCGUGGGGAGCAAACAGGAUUAGAUACCCGAGUAGUC
rnacentral:rRNA from 1 species